GAGCCGGAAACCUGGGCAAGUUCGGGCAGCCCCGCGGUGAGUUACCACGUUGGACUCACGGCUGGAAAAACCUGCCGGGGGUGCUUGGGGCCCCGCUUCCCUGAGUCGGUGCCACUGUCCCUGAGGAGCGAGGACCAGGCAGCCAUGAGUGUCCACCUGCGGCCGCCCCGGUGGCUCCUUUCCAGCAUUUUCUGCCUGGAGGAGAGGAGGAGCUGGCGGGGAGGCCCGUGCUGGGACUGCAGGAGCACUGGCAGCCUCUUUGGCCCUCUCCUCCAGGCCUCCCUGCAGCUGGGGAAACUGAGGCCCAGGGUCAGUCUCCAAGGUCACUCAGCUCGGAGAUGCUGCUUCUCGAAUCGAGAUCUGCCCGACCCCGACCUCCAGCCACCGUCGGGGUCAGACGUGGGCACAACGGGAGCCGGGAGGCCGCCGUCCCCGCCUUCACAGGAUCCCUGCUGGUCACACGGGGAGCAGCCGAGAUGCGCUGCGGUGGAGGACGGACAGACGGACUGCGGUCCGUCCAGACCACGGAAUGUCACUCAGCGAGAAAGAGAAACGAGCCUAACGCCACGGGAAGACGCGGAGGAGCCUUCAACGCACGUGAGGAAGCGAAGGGAGCCGGUCGGAGGAGGCCCGCUUCUGGGUAUUUAUCCAGAGAGACAGAAUUCGGACAGACGCGUGCGCCCCGUGUCCACUGCAGCGCUACUCACGACAGCAAGACGUGCAAACAGCCCAAGUGCCCAUCGAGGGGGAUUCGAGCGGAUAAAGACGUGGUGGUUGUGCACAGCGGAAUACUACGCAGCCAGGAACAAGACCGAAACCCUCCCAUUUCCCGCAACAUGGACCAACCUGCAGGGCGUGAUGCUCAGUGAAAUGAGUCGGACAGAGAAAGACAAAUUCCGCCCCGUCUGCCUUACGUGUGGAAUCUAAGAACUUGAGCUCAUGGGGCCAGAGAGGAGAACGGUGUCACCAGGGCUGCGGACGGGGAGACGGGAGACGUGGUCGCAGGCACGACCUUCCGGUUAUAAGAAAACAGUUCUGCGGCCUGAUGCACAGGCUCGAGGCCUGUACCUGGUGCUUGAAACGUGCCGGGAGCAGAUCUUCCGUGUUCUCCCCCCGAGAAACAGGUCCCGCGUGGGGCUCGGGUGCGUGUGCACCGGCUUCGUCGUGGGGGCCACGUCACAACGUUUACACACGCUGAACCAUCACGUUCCACCUCACAUACAGACGGCGUUAUCUGUCAGUCACAGCUCGAUAAAGCUGGGGAAAAGUGUGGAAAAAUAAGAGUGUUUGCUCCCAGAGAGAAGGAUGGUGGGAACGAGUUGGAGCAGACACGUCUUUACACCCUCUGUGCGUGAAAAUGAAUUUGUGCCCAAAAUUAGUAAAGGCGUGUUUUUA
rnacentral:lncRNA from 1 species